GAUGAACGCUGGCGGCGUGCCUAAUACAUGCAAGUCGAGCGAAUGGAUUAAGAGCUUGCUCUUAUGAAGUUAGCGGCGGACGGGUGAGUAACACGUGGGUAACCUGCCCAUAAGACUGGGAUAACUCCGGGAAACCGGGGCUAAUACCGGAUAACAUUUUGAACCGCAUGGUUCGAAAUUGAAAGGCGGCUUCGGCUGUCACUUAUGGAUGGACCCGCGUCGCAUUAGCUAGUUGGUGAGGUAACGGCUCACCAAGGCAACGAUGCGUAGCCGACGUGAGAGGGUGAUCGGCCACACUGGGACUGAGACACGGCCCAGGCUCCUACGGGAGGCAGCAGUAGGGAAUCUUCCGCAAUGGACGAAAGUCUGACGGAGCAACGCCGCGUGAGUGAUGAAGGCUUUCGGGUCGUAAAACUCUGUUGUUAGGGAAGAACAAGUGCUAGUUGAAUAAGCUGGCACCUUGACGGUACCUAACCAGAAAGCCACGGCUAACUACGUGCCAGCAGCCGCCGCGG
rnacentral:rRNA from 1 species